UACGGGGGGAGCAAGCGUUGUUCGGAUUUACUGGGCGUAAAGGGCGCGUAGGCGGCCACCGCAAGUCGAUUGUGAAAUCUCCGGGCUUAACCCGGAAAGGUCAACCGAUACUGCGGGGCUAGAGUGCGGAAGGGGCAACUGGAAUUCUUGGUGUAGCGGUGAAAUGCGUAGAUAUCGAGAGGAACACCUGCGGCGAAGGCGGGUUGCUGGGCUGACACUGACGCUGAGGCGCGAAAGCCAGGGGAGCGAACGGG
rnacentral:rRNA from 1 species